rnacentral:rRNA from 1 species
GAUGAACGCUAGCGGCAGGCCUAAUACAUGCAAGUCGAACGGUGUCUUCGGACAUAGUGGCGCACGGGUGCGUAACACGUAUGCAACCUACCUUACAUUGGGGGAUAGCCUUUCGAAAGGGAGAUUAAUACCGCAUAAGACAGUAGCUGGGCAUCCAGCAGCUGUUAAAGAUUUAUCGAUGUAAGCUGGGCAUGCGUCCAAUUAGGUAGUUGGUGAGGUAACGGCUCACCAAGGCAAUGAUUGGUAGGGGAACUGAGAGGUCAAUCCCCCACACUGGAACUGAGAUACGGGCCAGACUCCUACGGGAGGCAGCAGUAGGGAAUAUUGGGCAAUGGACGCAAGUCUGACCCAGCCAUGCCGCGUGCAGGAUGAAGGCGUUAUGCGUUGUAAACUGCUUUUAUACAGGAAGAAACGACUCUUGCGAGAGGCAUUGACGGUACUGUAUGAAUAAGCACCGGCUAACUCCGUGCCAGCCGCCGCAGUAACAC